UGGGGAAUUUUGGACAAUGGGCGCAAGCCUGAUCCAGCCAUACCGCGUGAGUGAAGAAGGCCUUCGGGUUGUAAAGCUCUUUCAGACGGAAAGAAACGGUCACGGCUAAUACCCGUGACUAAUGACGGUACCGUAAGAAGAAGCACCGGCUAACUACGUGCCAGCAGCCGCGGUAAUACGUAGGGUGCGAGCGUUAAUCGGAAUUACUGGGCGUAAAGCGUGCGCAGGCGGUUUUUAAGACAGAUGUGAAAUCCCCGGGCUUAACCUGGGAACUGCAUUUGUGACUGGAAGACUAGAGUGUAGCAGAGGGGGGUAGAAUUCCACGUGUAGCAGUGAAAUGCGUAGAUAUGUGGAGGAAUACCGAUGGCGAAGGCAGCCCCCUGGGCUAACACUGACGCUCAUGCACGAAAGCGUGGGGAGCAAACAGGAUUAGAUACCCAGGUAGUCCCUGAGCGGGCUGGCAAGGCGCAU
rnacentral:rRNA from 1 species